GCCGUCAUUGUUAACAGUUCACUUCAUUGUGCGUGUUGAGUUGAGUUGCAGACCGAGCCCCUCUCUGGCUGGGAGGUAGGUUUAGGUGAGUCUCUCAGGCUGGAGGCGGAGAUUUUAAUGCACCAGGUGGAGAGGAUCUGGCGAUCAGGGGGUUGGAGUCACUCACUCACAGGACAGUGAAGAGCGAGCAGUGUGAGAAAGCGAGAUUGAAGAGCUUGGGAAGAGGAGACUGCAGGAAUAAAGCUUGCAAAGCCUGAAGAAGGAGCCGGUGAGCUUUUGAGUGGCUGACUACUUAUGGCAUGAAAUGCAAAAUCAAAUGUCCAUAUAUUUAAUGUGUUUUAAAAAGUAUUCAAGCUAAAAGUAAUUGGAUAAAACUUGAAUUGUGUGUAUUCAGCGGAGUUAAAAUCUGGUGAAGGUUAAAGGUUAAAAUCAUCAUUAAAUAGUGUUUUAAAAAUGUAUUUAAUUUAGUAUUGGGAUACUUUAAAUUUGGGUUGUCUUUCUACUUAUUU
ensembl:lncRNA